ensembl:lncRNA
GCUAUUUCAAGCCAAGUUAGAAGAUGAUGUAUUCUUCUCCUCAGCGUGUCUCAACCUGAAUACACUGAGCAAACAGAGGUGAGACUGGCCAAAGUUAAAACAAGUAUAGUUUUUGAGUUUUAUAGAUGGGCCGGAUGGUGCAGAAGCUUUUGUAACUUCCACAUCGAUAAAACCUUCCUGAGAUAUUUCAUUUGUUCAAAAACCUCAAAUUGUCAAACAUUUAAAAGGCAAAAAAAAGCAAAUCCAUAGAGACGGUGAGUAAGCGAGAAUGCACAGCAGGUGUUCUCGUGUUGAGACUAAGGAAAGCAAGCAGCCAUUUCAAAUAUUCAGUGUCUUUAUGUAUUGACAAAUCUGUACUUUUAAAUUUGAGACGAUAUUAACAGCAGCACUUCUUCCUCCUUUUGAAGUUACCUGUGUAAAUGUAAAUAGAAAUGUCCAGUAUCUUAAUACUGCUAGUUUUUUCAAUUCAAUAAAAUGUUAUUUAUAUUGUCACCUACAGUUGCCUCAGUGCACUUUAAAUUGUACGGUAAAGACAAUACAAUAAUAAAGAGAGGCUGAGAAAACCCUAGCAAUCAGAUGAUCCCCUAUGAACAAGCACUUAGCAACAGUGGAAAGGAAAAACUUCCCUUUAACAGGAAGAAACCUCCCACAGAACCAGCUCAGAGAGGGGCAGCCAUCUGCUGUGAUUCGUUGGGGGUUGGAGGAGGAGAAGGUGGGUAACGUUUUUUUAACAUUUGAAAAAACUCCAAGUGCUUCUCCCAAAUACAAAUCUUGUAAAACACACACCAAUGAAAUGGAAAAAAUGACUAAAUGGUAAAUGGCCUGUAUUUGUAUAGCGCUUUUACUAGUCCCGCCAAAGCGCUUUACACACCCAGUCAUCCACACACCGGUGGAGGCAAGCUACAGUUGUAGCCACAGCUGCCCUGGGGCAGACUGACAGAAGCGAGGCUACCAUAUCGCGCCAUCGGCCCUUCUGGCCAACACCAGUAGGAGGUAGGUGAAGUGUCUUGCCGAAGGACACAACAACCAAGACUGUCCGAGCCGGGGCUCGAACCGGCAACCUUCUGAUUACAAGGUGAACUCCCAGCUGUUGAGCCACGACCGCACUAUGAGAGUCUUAUCACCCUGUCAGCAUUUUUAUGUUCUUUUUGUUACAGCACUGUUGAUUUGAUGGUGCCAGUUUGUCAGACUGGCAUCGCACAUGUGGCUGGUGAAGAGCUGCACAUCUCGUAGAUCUGGACUUUAUUGAAAAUGGGAAUGUCAGAUUGCAGUGUAACACGUGGUCUCAUCACUGCAACAUUGCUCAGCAUUCAAUCAUAUCAUCCCGGAGAUCCUGGUCCAGAUACUGUCUCACCUGGGACUCUCCACCCCCAUCUGCCUCUGGAUCAAGGACUUCCUGACAAAUAGACCACAGUCUGUCAGACUCGGCCCCCACCGG